AAAGGGGGUAUUGAAAUUUGAAAGUUUUGAAACCGAAAAUAAGAAAACCACUUGCGCCAUAAUUUUCCCCUUUUGGAGGCUAUCUUUUUGUUAGCUCACAAAACCGGAGUCGGUUGGGGACACGUGGAGGGGAGAAAUUGGUCUGUUGUGAUUAUAAAUAACCGGCAAGGAAGGGAAAACCCAAGCCCACUCGUAGGGUUAUAGAAAUAGUAAUAGUAAUAGAUGGUUCCGUUUUUAGCAAAGCCAAAAGUUUCCCUAAAGGAGCUCGAGAUUGAUUCAGUUACCGGCGGUCUCUAAUUCGCUUGGUGCAGGUCGGGAACUGAUUGGCUGCUGCUCCUUAAUAGUGGAUUGGAUUGGAUUUAGGCCAGAUGGCGGGCCGUGACUGGAGGAGGCACGAAUUGGAUCCCGCCUUGCAUCAACUGAAUCGGAGACCGCGGUGAGGGGUUGCAUGGAUCUUGCCUUCUUUUUCUGUGUUAUGUUCAGAUCUCAGAGCUGCUGGAGGUAUUUCAAAGAAUGGAAAAUCCCCCUAGGAAGACAUUGAGAGAGACUGAAAAUUUAAACAAUUGACAUGCUCUAAUAACUUUUGUCCUGAUAUCAGAAACUUUAGAUUGCAACUCUAUUCAGUGUGUGUGGCUAUUCAUUUCUGUCUGCUGCUGUUUCCUCUCAUUAUAAUAAUAUUCUUGACAUUUUAUCGACUUGAGAAGAUGGGUGGCUUGAAAUUCAAUAUUACAGGUGGAGACAGCAAUUGCUGUUAGAAUUAUCCAUUGAGAGUUGAAUUGUCUUUUCUAGUUGAAGUGCUAGUUGUUUCAUUCUUUGUGGGAACAUCUUUAGCAAUUAGCAUUAACAAACCCAAAAAUUUCCCCCUUCUCGGUUGCUAAUGUACAUUUGAAUUGUUCUUGCCUUUGGUCUUUUGCAUUGUUAGGUUUACAUUGCUUUUAACAGCAUUCUUUCUAGAAGAUCAUUUACACUUAUUCUUAGAUCUGUAGUUCCUAUCCUUACUGACCAUAUUGAUUUAACUAAUGGAUGUAUAGUUUGUACUUGGUAUAUAUUGAUAUUUUUGCUUAUGAAAAUUGGCCUUUUGUUCCCCAUUGAGUUGAUAUCCAGCUGUGGAGCCUUUUAUCAAUCAGUGUCUGAAGGCCGCUGCAAUAUUCUUGCCAAAUUUAUCUACUCAUCUUUUUGGCUUCAAAUCUCAACACAACUUUUGUUCUUUGGUUGUCCUUUACUUAGUGAGCAAAGUUCCAAAAAGCCUUAGCAUAUCCCUUAGGAUAGGUUUUCUUUCCACCCAAAAUUCGUGUUUGACUAAUUGAAGAUAUUAGUGCCACAGCAGUUAAUUAUGUGAGACUGUGAGACGGGACUGGGUUAUAUACCGCACCUCUUAGUUUAGGGUUUAUGGUCCUUAAGAUUGCAAUUGGAGUGUGAAAACUAAAUCUUUCUAUUUUUUGGUGUCAGAAUGGAUGUUGUCUCUCUGGGAUGAGAUGGUAACUGAUGAAUCCAUUCUCACAUUGUUUUGCUUUUGCCUAUUUUCCCGUAAACAUUAAAAUGUAAAAGUUGUAUUUUUGGCCAAUAUAGAGGAUUUUUAUGUUUAAAAGUUCACUCAUAUGCAGGACUCAUGUAAAUGCAAGUUCACAUCAAGGGCGUCUUGGUAAUGUCAGAACAAUUCCAUUUACUGCUUAUCUUGUCUUGUGAAUAUAACCAGCCUACCGUUUGCAUAAAAUUAGAAUCCUUGCCCUAACGUUAUUUUGUCCUUGAGGACACAUUAUUAUGUGUUAUUAAUGCCCUUGUUGUGGACACGUUGUUAUGUGACGUUAAUGUCUUUGCUGUAGACACAAAAAAUCAAAGUGAAUGAGUUAUAACCGUGGAAUGCUGAUAGCAUUGAUGACAGAUGCUAAGGAGGGGCCUGGAACGAGGAUUCUUGGAUGGUGGUUAACUUUCGAAAUGAUGCCAUUUUAUUUUGACCUGGAAAACAAUAAGGUCCCUUUCAUGUUGGCGCCGGGCGGUUUCUUUCCCAUUGAACUGCUUUACACAAUUGGUUACUAGGCUGGAUGAGGAAGGCGGGUGUUUUGUUUGGGACCCAUGUGAUGAAUUUUCAAUUUUUAUGGUGGCCCUGAGUUUCUCUUUCUUAGCUUUGUACAGCUCAGUUGCUUUAGAAAAGCAUCUUUGAAGCUGACAUGAAGAAGCACGGAUGCACAAUUUUUGUUCUGGUUGAUUGCCAGUCUUUACGCGGACAACAAUUGACUCAAAAAGUGGGGUUGGAAAGAAAACGCUGUGAAAUAAUUGCAGGAUUUGCCUGACUUGUAAAGUGUUCAGGUGGGAAUAAUGCAGGAAGUGAAUUUGUUAAGAGUCUAGUUGAUUGAUUGAGAUUUGAGAGAUUUUAUUAUGGUCAGUAAAUCAAACUUCCAAAUUUUCUCAAAUUAUAAAACUAAGCUGAAA
rnacentral:sRNA from 1 species